GAAUUUGAGGCAUCUGCCAUGGGCAUCACAAGUAAAUUAAAUGAUGCCCUUGAUCAUGAGGACUCAUUCAUCCUUACCGAUGGUCAGGGAAAACAGAAUUUGGAUACAGAAGGAAUCAGAGGAGCCGCUUUUUGGAAACAAAAUGCUAGGAAGGUGUGUGCUGUGAAGGAAGGAGAUUUGCAGCUGUUACAAGGAAACAAAAAAAGAAGACUGAGUCGGCGAGAUGAUAAUGGUCUAGGUGCAGUGUACGAUACAAUUGAAGAGGUGGUCCUGGCAGCACAGGGUCUUUGGGAGGUGUCAACUACAAUUAAGAAGCUGC